rnacentral:misc_RNA from 1 species
UUUUUGUUCUUGUCCUCCGCAGAAUUUCCUGACAGCCUAUAGGUCAAGGCAGCAAGGUUCUAUCAGAGUAUUUCAGCCCAAACGUUUGUCAUGUUGCAUAUCCUUUGGGACAAAAAGGAGGGUUGAUGUGAGCUUAUGCCCCCUUUGUUAUUGGUCCCAAAUUAAUGGGCACAGGAGGCUAGUUACUUUCAAGAAUCAACUGAUCAAAACCCUUGUUAUGUUGUAACUAGAGGUUUUCCUUCUUGGAGCUUCAAUGAUCGGUCUGAUUCUCUUGCCAGACCAUGAGGUUGGUUUGCUACGGAAGACCAAUUGCAUCUAUUAUUGUGUGACUACGGAAUAAUAGGUUAAUAAUGGAGUCAGAAUAUUAUUUCAUCCUAUUGUACCUUAUUUGA